rnacentral:tRNA from 1 species
GGUUAAAUCAAAUGACAGAACUAAACAUGUAGAACUAGUCGUAGAGUGCUUCUGGACGCGGGUUCGAUUCCCGCCGCCUCCACCA